AAAAAAAAAAAAAAAUUGAAUAAAGUAAGUACAUUCCGUGAUAUCGAGUAUAUUUAAAUGUAUCACUCUGUAUUUAUAAAAAAAACAAAAUAUAUUAUGAUAUAUUAUAUCAAAUGAUUAAUAAUUGUUAACUAGAAAAAUAUUUUUAUAUAUAUUUGAUACACAUUAAUUUUAUAAUAACUUUUUUGAGUAUCGACCACAUAAAUUAUUUGUUAGAUAUUUACUAAAAUUUACAGAUCAAUUUUUUUUCCGUUUUUAAUGAUGAAGUAAUAAACUAUUAUUUAUUAAUUUUCAUGUUUAACUGACCCCGGAAUAGUUAAAGUUAAAUUGGCUGAUGAUUUAAGCACUCGCGCAUUCGAACCGCUCCGAAAUUAGAAAAAAUUACUCGAAUAAGUAUUUGAUGGGUUUUGUUUUAUUUUUAUAAUGUUACUGUUUUCUUAAAUUAAAAUAGUAAACAAUAUCCGACAUUGAAAAUCGCGUGUUAGUCUAUAAUUCCCAUAUUUUACUAUCAGACAAAUUGUAAUUUGCCUACUUGUGUAUAACAUUUUAACAUAAUAUAUUAUAUUAUAUUUUUAUAUUUAUUAACGAGUAUAAAUCAAUUUAAUUUAUUAUAUUUAUUAUUUUAUUAUAUUUUUUAUGUUUUUAUGUUCGUAUUUACAUUCUUUGGCAUUUACAGAAUUAUUUUAAUCGUUGACAAUUUGUAUUUAUG